rnacentral:lncRNA from 1 species
GGAUACUAUUUGCUGAAUGUUUGGAUUUUGUUUUCUUUUUAUGCAUUUUGGAUUAAUAUUGUCUGAUAGAUACAUGAAUCUGCUUGAUUCUUUUCAACCUUGUUUUGAAGUUUUGGGUAGAAGAGCACUCUCUCUAAGUCUAGUUUAGAACUAGUAUGAAGAAUCGAUCCUUCUGGGUUAUCUACGGAAUGCUCCAGAUCUUACAAGAGCUCUCUCUAUUAUGUUAGUAAGAGCUUCAACGUUACCCAGACCUGUCUGAGCUCUCAGAACUGUUUGUCUUUCACAGCUUGUAGUUCUUUGCUUAUUCUGCCAUGACUUCACAGCUUGUAGUUCUUUGCUUAUUCUGCCAUGACCUCACGUAAGCACAUGCAGGUUAGUACUCCAACAAACACAGAGUGGCUUGCUCUGCAAAUUCCUGGAGUUCUAACCCUGGGCCACUCCUUCCUCUUCAGGACUUUGCCCCCAAAGUCCUAACUGCAGUAGCCUGCUUGGGCUCUGCUGUCCAACUCCACCAUUCAAUGACACCUCUGGGCUCACUAGGAUUUACCACAGUAGGAUUUUGCCACAAUAUGGAAAGUGAUUAUAAGCAGCAAUCUGGGACAACUGGAGGGACAAAUCCAUUUGUUUUCCUUUCCUUAGAGGUUACAGGUCUACUCCGACUGUUAUCUAAUGUCUGAAAAAAGUUGCUCAGGAUGUUUUGUCCUGUUUUUUAGGUUAUUCUACUAUGGGGCUUGGAAGAGGAGAGGAUUUAAACACCAGUUAUUCUUCAUGGACAGACAUGGAAAUAAUUGAAGUUUUUAAAGAGAAAAUUGCAGCGGCUUCUCAGCUGGAGAUUACUGCAUCUGCAAUGAUAUCCAGUCCAAGUUCACAGUGUCAAAGAGAUGAAGGUGGAUCUUCCCUCACUGAUAAGAAGCUUGAAGCUCUCCAGCUCAUGUUCUCCUCCUGGCUCCUGAGGGUGCUUACAUGCAGCCCCAGGCUCCCACACGAAGAGGAUGAAGUCAUGGGAGGCUACAAACCACUUUCUAGUUACAGUUCCCUUUGAUUUCAAACUUCUGAGGCAUUGGCUGCACUCCAUAUCUCUCAACCAUGACAGAGGCCGUUUCUCUUCCCUGCCAAAGAAUAUGUUCAGAGACUAGAGUAAAGGCAUUAUCACAUAGUCAAAGAAAACAGAAGACUUGAGUACAAUCUGGUCUUAUUUCCUCGUAGCUGAAGGACUUUGAACAAAAAAAAGGUUAUACUCUGAACACUAAUUUCUUUUGUGCAAAAUGAGGAUAUAAAUAAAAUCCACUUCAUAAUUAAAAUCUUAAACA